rnacentral:tRNA from 1 species
GUGGAUAUAGCUCAGUGGCAGAGCACAUGCUUAGCAUGCACAAGGUCCUGGGUUCAAUCCCCAGGACCUCCA